CUACUCUCUAUAGACUAGGGCUCUCUACAGAAGUAGGUCUCUACUCUCUAUAGACUAGGGGUCUCUCCAGAAGGAGGUCUCUACUCUCUAUAGACUAGGGCUCUCUCCAGAAGGAGGUCUCUACUCUCUAUAGACUAGGGGUCUCUCCAGAAGGAGGUCUCUACUCUCUACACAAGGAGAGCUCUACUCUCUAUAGACUAUGGGUCUCUCCAGAAGGAGGUCUCUACUCUCUAUAGACUAGGGCUCUCUACAGAAGGAGGUCUCUACUCUCUAUAGACUAGGGCUCUCUCCAGAAGGAGGUCUCUACUCUCUAUAGACUAGGGCUCUCUACAGAAUGAGGUCUCUACUCUCUAUAGACUAGGGGUCUCUACAGAAGGAGGUCUCUACUCUCUAUAGACUAGGGCUCUCUACAGAAGGUCUUUACCCUCUACACAAGGAGAGCUCUACUCUCUAUAGACUAGGGCUCUCUACAGAAGGAGGUCUCUGCUCUCUAUAGAAGUAGGUCUGUACUCUCUAUAGACUAGGGGUCUCUACAGAAGGAGGUCUCUACUCUCUAUAGACUAGGGGUCUCUCCAGAAGGAGG
rnacentral:lncRNA from 1 species